rnacentral:rRNA from 1 species
GCCUAUCAGGUAGUAGUGGGUGUAGCGUACCUACUAGCCUACGACGGGUACGGGUUGUGAGAGCAAGAGCCCGGAGAUGGAUUCUGAGACACGAAUCCAGGCCCUACGGGGUGCAGCAGGCGCGAAAACUUUACAAUGCCGGCAACGGCGAUAAGGGGACCUCGAGUGCCAGGUUACAAAUCUGGCUGUCGAGAUGCCUAAAAAGCAUUUCAUAGCAAGGGCCGGGCAAGACCGGUGCCAGCCGCCGCGGUAACACCGGCGGCUCGAGUGGUAACCGUUAUUAUUGGGUCUAAAGGGUCUGUAGCCGGCCGGAUAAGUCUCUUGAGAAAUCUGGCAGCUUAACUGUCAGGCUUUCAGGAGAUACUGUUCGGCUCGAGGCCGGGAGAGGUGAGAGGUACUUCAGGGGUAGGGGUGAAAUCUUGUAAUCCUUGAAGGACCACCAGUGGCGAAGGCGUCUCACCAGAACGGACCUGACGGCAAGGGACGAAAGCUAGGGGCACGAACCGGAUUAGAUACCCGGGUAGUCCUAGCCGUAAACGAUACUCGCUAGGUGUCGGCCACGGUGCGACCGUUGUCGGUGCCGUAGGGAAGCCGUGAAGCGAG